AUCUGCAUAUCUUCCAUCCAUUGGCAGUUAAAGUUUAGUCUCAAAACAGAUCUCUUUCUACAACUGACAAGAAACACAGACCCUGGGCUCCUGCCUCGAAAAUGGAGAAGAGGUACGUGCCUGUAGAGUCUGGAAGCGUUCCAUGGCUGGAGUGGAGGUGAUUUGUUAAAAGCAGAGUCUGUGGUUCAUCCACCGAGAUGCCUUCCCCACACUUCUGGAGCAUUGCCUGGGCAGUUAGCUUCUUGCUGGCCAACCUGGAUAUCACUUUAUGCAUUAAUCUAUGGGCUACUUUCAUGCAUAUUCUUCCUGUAUUGAUUUUAUUUUUCUAGGAAAGUUAACAGGGAAUCACAGAAAAGUUGAAAUGUCUCAUGGAUUCUGUCCUCCAUUCUUCCCUCUUGCUGUAAAAUGUGAUUUCUCCUUGGAAGAUACCUCCAAAAAUGCAAACAUUCCUUGGCAACAGGAUGGAAUCUUGUGUCAGUGUGGCCCAGAAUCUUCCUGUGGGUACAAGCCCUUAAUUUUAUUCUGAAGACACUCCUUAAGUGGUUUUCAAGCUCCCGGAAUUAACAGUCCUGGGAUAUCAUUCAACAGAGCAAACUCCUAGUGAGGGGUCAGGGUAGUCCGCACACGCCCACGGUGGCAGCCUGUGAAUCAGGUCUCUCCAUUGCUCCUCAGGGACACUAGAGACAGAGACCCAGCUCUGACAGGCCCUCUCUCCACCGCCUGGAUGGUUUCUCUGCUUUCCUCUUCCCCGUUUGCCAGGCGCAGGGCUGACGGCUCACCUGUCAAGCCGUUAGCAACAGUCAGCAACUCCCCGUGAGGACCAGCCCCAGCUCACUUCCCCCCGCCGUCCCAUGUCCUGCUCCAGGGUUGCUAUGAUGCUGUGAGCGGACCGUUUUUACCAGGACGCACCCAGGGAGCCCAGCCCGGGGGUGGGGAAGACCCAGGCAGACAGGAGCCCACCUCUGGCCCCGUGGUGAUGUGGGUGCAGCUCCUGUGCAGCCAUAGACCCAGCGAUGCCCCCCAUACUGGGAAGGAAGGGAUGUCUGGAGGCCAGGUGGAUGCCCCCAUACUGGGAAGGAAGGGGUGUCUGGAGGUCAGGUGGAUGCCCCCAUACUGGGAAGGAAGGGGUGUCUGGAGGUCAGGUGGAUGUCCCCCAUACUGGGAAGGAAGGGGAUGUCUGGAGGUCAGGUGGAUGGGGCAGGGGGCUGGCUACUCCCCCGCAGAGCAGAGUUUUCAGACCGGCUUCCAUCAGGAGGCGGCCUCAGCCUGUUGGUUCCUGUGUCAGUCAGGCCAGCUCUUCCCUGGGGUCGGGGUGGGGACCUUGACCUGGGGUGUAAGUACCAGGUCAGCCCCGUCUGUCCAGGUGGCCUG
ensembl:lncRNA